GACGAACGCUGGCGGCGUGCCUAAUACAUGCAAGUAGAACGCUGAAGAGAGGAGCUUACUCUUCUUGGAUGAGUUGCGAACGGGUGAGUAACGCGUAGGUAACCUGCCUUGUAGCGGGGGAUAACUAUUGGAAACGAUAGCUAAUACCGCAUAACAAUGGAUGACACAUGUCAUUUAUUUGAAAGGGGCAAUUGCUCCACUACAAGAUGGACCUGCGUUGUAUUAGCUAGUAGGUGAGGUAAUGGCUCACCUAGGCGACGAUACAUAGCCGACCUGAGAGGGUGAUCGGACACACUGGGACUGAGACACGGCCCAGACUCCUACGGGAGGCAGCAGUAGGGAAUCUUCGGCAAUGGGGGCAACCCUGACCGAGCAACGCCGCGUGAGUGAAGAAGGUUUUCGGAUCGUAAAGCUCUGUUGUAAGUCAAGAACGGGUGUGAGAGUGGAAAGUUCACACUGUGACGGUAGCUUACCAGAAAGGGACGGCUAACUACGUG
rnacentral:rRNA from 1 species